AUCCAGCUGAGGAGUCACAAAUAGGACAAAACGCGUGUCGUGGAU
rnacentral:hammerhead_ribozyme from 1 species